AUCUCAGCGGCAGCCUAGGCAGAUGGGUUACCUGAGGUCACAUCCACCUAUUGCCCUCCACCAAUGGGCCAGGACCAGGAAGGAAGGAGAAGGAACUGGAGUGGAGACAUACCAAAGAGGUUCUUAGUUGUAGGGGUCAAGAAAGAAGAGGCCGUGGGCUCAGGCACAGAGCAGGUGGCAUGGAGAGCAUAUGGAGACCCUCACAGAUGACAGCCAGGAGUCCCUUGGCCUUUGGAAGGGAGCAGGUGCCUCCUCCUGUUCAAAGUUUGGCUCCUGGAGUUUUCCCGUGAUGUAUAAUUCUCUUCCCUGAAGGUUCAAGUGCUUCUUCUAAAAGCUAUGGCACCUGUGUGGUUCAGUGGUUGAGCGUCUGCCUUUGGCUCAGGGGGUGAUCCUGGAG